rnacentral:rRNA from 1 species
UAGCGUAGGCAGCGAGCGUUGUUCGGAAUUACUGGGCUUAAAGAGUUCGUAGGCGGCAUGGAAAAGUAGGGUGUGAAAGCCCUCGGCUCAACCGAGGAAUUGCGCUCUAAACUGUCGUGCUCGAGGAACCUAGAGGUGAGCAGAACAGAUGGUGGAGCGGUGAAAUGCGUUGAUAUCAUCUGGAAUACCGGAGGCGAAGGCGGCUCACUGGGGGUUUCUGACGCUGAGGAACGGAAAGCCAAGGGUAGCGAACGGG